rnacentral:tRNA from 1 species
CAGACCGUAGGGUGACGCAUCGCGUGCCCGGUGCGCAGGCGACGGAUACUUCCUUCUGCAAAAAAGAGGACCCGGGUUCGAAUCCCGGCGGUCCGG